UUCCGAAUAUUCAUCAAUUAGUGAUUGUACCCUUUGUACCCUAACUGUGAAAAGUUAAAUCAGAAAAGGAAAAGCAAGUGAUAUAUUGGCCUCAGAAUUCAGUUAGGUAUUUUCCAAUCUCUAUUAUGAGUCCUACACUACAUGUUUACGCGCAAGGAAAAGUCUCAAUGUCAUGUAUGGCUGAACAGGGAAGAUAAAGCACGUGGGGAAUCCGGCAGAGAG
rnacentral:lncRNA from 1 species